GCUGAAAAUUAGUUUUUUCCUAAUUUAUCCUUGCACAAGAUGUACAAAAGCACCCUGUACUGUGAAUGUAUGAUGGGUUGUCUGAAAACCAGGCGCUCCAUUUUGAUUAAAAUCCGAAUCUUGAUGGAACCUUAUCGUUUGUCCAUGUGUGGUGUUCUUUUCUUUGUUCACUUGAUUCAUUUCAUCAUUUACGAAUCGGCAUCUUCACGAGUGAAAAAUCUUAACUAUUGAAGCUAUUUAAUUGAGCCUUUUAUCGAGUUCAUUUGAUUAACUUGUUGUUAUAACGGUGAGAAUACCACUCUUGAGCUUGGUCAACAUUUUCAGUUAUUUGUCUCAUUUCCUCUUCUGGUCGAAGCUUUUUGUUCGCUAAAAUGAAUACUUGCACAGUGGUGAAAUUUCUGAGUUACCACUCAGUAGAACCUGUUCCUACGAAAUGGAUUUCAGAGGACUACUGUUUAUGGCCAAAUGACACUAAAGAAACAUUUAUUGUUCAGAGCAAUAAAGAUCUGUGAACCGUCCCUACCAUCAUGGGAGCGUCACAAAAUAAGUACUUUCAGGAAUGCAACCUAUGGUGAUUACACCAUUGCUAGAAAAAAAUGUCGAAGAGCAGAGGUGACAUCUGAUCUCAAUUCAGAAAAUGAAAAAAGAAAAACCAAAAAACCAAUGAGGCUGAUGUCCUUUUCAACGGACUCAGAUUCAGAUGAUAGUAGAUUCUCUUUGAGUGACGAGGGUUCAUCUCUACCA